CGCGAGGUUGGUAACCAUCGUCAAAUUGUCUGGGUGGUGUAGUUGGUUAUCACGUUAGUCUCACACACUAAAGGUCCCCAGUUCGAACCUGGGCUCAGACAU
rnacentral:tRNA from 1 species